UAGGGAAUCUUCGGCAAUGGGGGCAACCCUGACCGAGCAACGCCGCGUGGGUGAAGAAGGUUUUCGGAUCGUAAAGCCCUGUUGUAAGAGAAGAACGAGUGUGAGAGUGGAAAGUUCACACUGUGACGGUAACUUACCAGAAAGGGACGGCUAACUACGUGCCAGCAGCCGCGGUAAUACGUAGGUCCCGAGCGUUAUCCGGAUUUAUUGGGCGUAAAGCGAGCGCAGGCGGUUAGAUAAGUCUGAAGUUAAAGGCUGUGGCUUAACCAUAGUACGCUUUGGAAACUGUUUAACUUGAGUGCAGAAGGGGAGAGUGGAAUUCCAUGUGUAGCGGUGAAAUGCGUAGAUAUAUGGAGGAACACCGGUGGCGAAAGCGGCUCUCUGGUCUGUAACUGACGCUGAGGCUCGAAAGCGUGGGGAGCAAACAGGAUUAGAUACCCUGGUAGUCCACGCCGUAAACGAUGAGUGCUAGGUGUUGGGUCCUUUCCGGGACUCAGUGCCGCAGCUAACGCAUUAAGCACUCCGCCUGGGGAGUACGACCGCGAGGUUG
rnacentral:rRNA from 1 species